CAGCAGCCGCGGUAAUACGUAGGUCCCGAGCGUUGUCCGGAUUUAUUGGGCGUAAAGCGAGCGCAGGCGGUUAGAUAAGUCUGAAGUUAAAGGCUGUGGCUUAACCAUAGUACGCUUUGGAAACUGUUUAACUUGAGUGCAAGAGGGGAGAGUGGGAUUCCAUGUGUAGCGGUGAAAUGCGUAGAUAUAUGGAGGAACACCGGUGGCGAAAGCGGCUCUCUGGCUUGUAACUGACGCUGAGGCUCGAAAGCGUGGGGAGCAAACAGGAUUAGAGACCCCAGUAGUCCCUGUCUCUUAUACA
rnacentral:rRNA from 1 species